UUAGAGUUUGAUCCUGGCUCAGGAUGAACGCUGGCGGCGUGCUUAACACAUGCAAGUCGAACGAAGCACUUUCUUUUGAGAUCUUCGGAAGGAAAAAGGGAGCGACUGAGUGGCGGACGGGUGAGUAACGCGUGGGCAACCUGCCUCACACAGGGGGAUAACAGCCAGAAAUGGCUGCUAAUACCGCAUAAGCGCCCAGGGCCGCAUGGCCCGGGGCGAAAAACCGAGGUGGUGUGAGAUGGGCCCGCGUCUGAUUAGGUAGUUGGUAAGGUAACGGCUUACCAAGCCGACGAUCAGUAGCCGACCUGAGAGGGUGACCGGCCACAUUGGGACUGAGACACGGCCCAAACUCCUACGGGAGGCAGCAGUGGGGAAUAUUGCACAAUGGGGGAAACCCUGAUGCAGCGACGCCGCGUGGAGGAAGAAGGUCUUCGGAUUGUAAACUCCUGUUGUUGAGGAAGAUAAUGACGGUACUCAACAAGGAAGUGACGGCUAACUACGUGCCAGCAGCCGCGGUAAAACGUAGGUCACAAGCGUUGUCCGGAAUUACUGGGUGUAAAGGGAGCGCAGGCGGGAAGACAAGUUGGAAGUGAAAUCUAUGGGCUCAACCCAUAAACUGCUUUCAAAACUGUUUUUCUUGAGUAGUGCAGAGGUAGGCGGAAUUCCCGGUGUAGCGGUGGAAUGCGUAGAUAUCGGGAGGAACACCAGUGGCGAAGGCGGUCUACUGGGCACCAACUGACGCUGAGGCUCGAAAGCAUGGGUAGCAAACAGGAUUAGAUACCCUGGUAGUCCAUGCCGUAAACGAUGAUUACUAGGUGUUGGGGGAUUGACCCCCUUCAGUGCCGCAGUUAACACAAUUAAGUAAUCCACCUGGGGAGUACGACCGCAAGGUUGAAAACUCAAAGGAAUUGACGGGGGCCCGCACAAGCAGUGGAGUAUGUGGUUUAAUUCGAAGCAACGCGAAGAACCUUACCAGGUCUUGACAUCCGAUGCAUAACACAGAGAUGUGUGAAAUCCUUCGGGACAUCGAGACAGGUGGUGCAUGGUUGUCGUCAGCUCGUGUCGUGAGAUGUUGGGUUAAGUCCCGCAACGAGCGCAACCCUUAUUGCCAGUUACUACGUUAAGAGGACUCUGGCGAGACUGCCGUUGACAAAACGGAGGAAGGUGGGGAUGACGUCAAAUCAUCAUGCCCUUUAUGACCUGGGCUACACACGUACUACAAUGGCGUUAAACAAAGAGAAGCAAGACCGCGAGGUGGAGCAAAACUCAAAAACAACGUCUCAGUUCAGAUUGCAGGCUGCAACUCGCCUGCAUGAAGUCGGAAUUGCUAGUAAUCGCGGAUCAGCAUGCCGCGGUGAAUACGUUCCCGGGCCUUGUACUCACCGCCCGUCA
rnacentral:rRNA from 1 species